UUUCAAAUGACAUUCUCCAUUUAUUUAUUUUCUACUUUGAAAUGGUGUUUGUAUUUUGAUUCUUAUUGUCAUUAUUUUCUUAAAGUAAUUUCUUCAUGGGUGUUGAGUUUUUGUGAAGUGUAGAAUGCUUUUAUUGUGAAAUUAGAUGCAUAAACUGGAUCUCAAAGAGAAGAAGCUGUAUUGGAUUUUCUUUAAUUUUGCGGUUGAGGUAAGCCUUGCUGUUUCUUGGAUUUUUAAACAGGGAGAUUUCUAACCUGGUACAGGACAUGAAUUUUCUUCCUGUGCGUAGCUCAAGAAUGGGAUACCUUGCACAAUGAUCCGGUGAUCCUUGCAGUUCGCUAUGUUAUAAAGAUGCAACGGUCAUAAUACUGAGGUCAUGGUUUUUUCCUCAUUGCACCAUGUUAUAAUAUCUGUACUUUUUCAUUCUUUGAGAGAAUUUUGAGUGGAAAUGGAAUCACUAUGGGCCCCCUGGAACUCCAUUACUUCUGCACUAGUCUUAAGUGAUAGUGGCCAUACAUCCAUGUGUUCUUUUACCUGUGGUUUGAGCAUGGUAGGCCAGCAGUUGUAUCUUGGAACAUAAGGCUCCAAUUUAUCCAGCUCCAGAUAAUGGUGACAUGCUGGUGAGGUAAAAUAGAUCAUUUUAAAUUCUAUAACACAUGGCUAUAUGGUGACUGCGAGUUGAUAAGGCUUGGACUCUGAUUUCUCCUUUCUUUUCCAUAGUAAUGAUUUUUUUUUUUUUGGAGUUCUUCUUCUUUGUUUCUGCAAUGGUAUGUUGAUUUCUUAUAAGUCGACAUCCUGAUGGUUUAAGUGUUUGGAAUUGUGGCUGGUAUUUUCUCUCGAGUUCUCAUCAUGUUUAGGAAUUGGGCUACUUGAGCUGGUCGUGUUGGGGGUCUUACUAUCCAGGGGAUGGUUUUUGUACAGCUAUUGUUUCUUUUAGUUCCUUUUCGUUCUCUCUUUUGUUGUAUUUUCUUUUCUUUUGGUAGUCUGCUCUCUCUCUCUCUCUCUCUCUCUCUCUCUCUCUCUCUCUUGUUUUGUUCAGGCUGGUGCUAAACAUGUUUAUGCGGUGGAGGCAUCUAAAAUGGCAGAAUAUGCACGCUGGCUUAUUGUUGGGAAUCCAUCAUUGAGAGAAUGGAUUACGGUGAUCAAAGGUAAAGUUGAGGAUGUUGAAUUGCCUGAGAAAGCAGGAAUUCUAAUUUCUGGGGCUAUAUGAUUCAGAAGGGUGUUGCAGGGAACACAAAUCCAUUGCCAAAAUAUCAUAUCUGAGGCAACAUGAUUGUGUUGAGAUUUCCAUCUUAUUUCCAUGGUUUCUUUAUUUGUGUUGAAAUUUCAAGUCUCUUGGACUGAGGGAAAAAACCCAUCUCUGUUUUUCUUCUUUCCUUUUCUUUUCUUUAUGUUUUUUCAUGUUUUACGGAUUGGGAUUCCAAGUCUAUUUGACUGAGAAUUGAAGACUCUUUCUGGGUUUUCUUGGGUUUUAUUUGAGAGGAAAAACCCAUUAAAAUAUUGUAGCUAAUGUUGUGGAUC